rnacentral:rRNA from 1 species
GAACUCAAAGGAAUUGACGGGGCCGCACAAGCGGUGGAGUAUGUGGUUUAAUUCGAUGCAACGCGAAGAACCUUACCUGGUCUUGACAUCCCGGAGACCCUUAGGAAACUAGGGGGUGCUUCCAUCUGGAAGAAUCUGGAGACAGGUGCUGCAUGGCUGUCGUCAGCUCGUGUCGUGAGAUGUUGGGUUAAGUCCCGCAACGAGCGCAACCCUUGCCUUUAGUUGCCAGCAGUUCGGCUGGGCACUCUAAAGGGACUGCCGGUGUUAAACCGGAGGAAGGUGGGGAUGACGUCAAGUCCUCAUGGCCUUUAUGACCAGGGCUACACACGUACUACAAUGGCCGAUACAAAGGGCAGCGACACUGCGAGGUGAAGCCAAUCCCGUAAAAUCGGUCUCAGUCCGGAUUGGAGUCUGCAACUCGACUCCAUGAAGUUGGAAUCGCUAGUAAUCGUGGAUCAGCAUGCCACGGUGAAUACGUUCCCGGGCCUU